CAUAAAGUGCGUCGUAGUCCGGAUUGGAGUCUGCAACUCGACUCCAUGAAGUCGGAAUCGCUAGUAAUCGUAGAUCAGAAUGCUACGGUGAAUACGUUCCCGGGCCUUGUACACACCGCCCGUCACACCAUGGGAGUGGGUUGCAAAAGAAGUAGGUAGCUUAACUGUCGGGAGGGCGCUUACCACUUUGUGAUUCAUGACUGGGGUGAAGUCGUAACAAGGUAACCGUAGGGGAACCUGCGGUUGGAUCACCUCCUUACCUUAAAGAA
rnacentral:rRNA from 1 species